UCCACCCACGACCCUGCUCCACUUCCUGUGGCAGACUCCGCGCAGUUCCAUCGUUCCCUGACAGGCCGCAGUAGCCAUCGCCGCCCUGCUCCACUUCUUGUGGCAGAUUCCGCACAGCUCCACUAUCCUCUGGCAGGCCACAGUGGCGGCCACGAACCUGUUCCACCUCCUGCGACGGAUACCAUGCGAUUCUCCUAUCCGCUGACAACGGACGCUGCUCCACCCCUCAUAACAGAUUCCACGUGGCGGGCCGAGGUGAUGGCCACGUGUCCACUCCACUAUCUUCCGCAAUCAAUUCCCCUGACCAUGGGUGGCCCACUACCAGACGGUUACAAACAUCGCCAUCAAUCCGUUGCCUCCUCCGUCUAUAAAAGGGGGAUCCAGAUACGUUAUUCUCUAAGCUCCUUUUCCCUAUCUCAAAACUCUGCUA
rnacentral:lncRNA from 1 species